rnacentral:lncRNA from 1 species
ACAGGUUCUAAGAGAGAGGCUGCGUCGGCUCAUCUUCAAGCCAGCAAUGCCACGAGACGGAGUAUCACCAUGUUGGCCAGGCUGGUCUUCGACUCCUGACCUCAGGAGAUCCACCUGCCUUGGCCUCCCAAAGUGCCGGGAUUACAGGUAUGAGCCACCGCACCCAGCCGCCUUUUAAUACUUCUCUCUAAUCCAUCUCAUAUUCUACAUGGGAGUCAUUAGUAUGAGUUGAAGGUUUUUUUAUUCAGCCAUCAGCUCUGGAAGUAAUAGAAAUUGUCCAAUUUAUUUCAGUUUUUCAUGUUAAUAACAAAUUUGUAUUAUUUCUCUUACUCUGCAGGUCAAGCAGGACAAAUUAUUUUUGUUUUGCAAACACUGACUUAGAAUACCAAGAAGCUCUUCUCCCUUCUGCUGUAUAUGCAUGAUUCUUAAUGCUCCCCACCCAAGCCCGUGUCCUAGGCAAUCACUGAUCUGGUUUCUGUCACUAUAGAGAGGAUUAGAUUUGUCUUUUUAAAAAUUUCAUGUUAACGGAAUCACAUAUGUGUAUUCUUUUGAGAUUGGUUUCAUACACAUUGUAUCAGCAGUUUGUUUCUUUUUAUUUCUGAAAAAAAUUAAAAGUUUUUUGCCCCAUUGUAGGAAUUCAGCAUAAUGUGUUUAUUCACCUGUUUUUAUUUUUUAAUUUUAAUUUUGUUUUGUUUUGAGAUAGGGUCUCAGUCUGUUGCCCAGGCUGCAGUGCAGUGGUGUGAUCACGGCUCACUACAUCCUUUGCCUCCUGAGUAGCUGGGACUACAGGUACACAACCACCAUAUCUGGCUAAUUUUUAAUUUUUAAAUUUUUUUGUGUGUGCUAUCUAAUAAAUCUUUGCCUGCCUCAAAAUCAGAAGGAUUUUCUCUUAUGUUUUCUUCUAAAAGUGUUACACUGUUAGCUUUUUUUUACAUUUACGUCUGUGAUUGAUUUCAAAAAAACACUUAUGUGUGAUGAGAGGUAGGGGUCAAGGCUCAUUGUUGAUAUAUAUCUAAUUGUUCUAGCACCAUUUGUUGAAAAAAAUUAUCUUUAAUCCUUUGAGUUAACUUGGUACUUGUCAAAAAACAGUUGCUUAUAUAUAUGUGAGUUUUUAUUUUCUGAACUAUUCUGUUCCAUUGAUCUAUAUAUAUAGAUUUAUGCCAAUACCAUACUGUUUAGUUAUUGUAGCCUUAUAGCAAAUUUUAAAGUCAGGUAGUAUAAGUCAU